AAGCCUGUAGAUCUGUGUAGCCCAACAAGAACACUGGUGAUCUCUGAGGAAAUGAUCCUACAUGAGAGCAGGCACUUCUCGAUCAAGGUAACAAUCUUUAUUUACUCCGAUCUGAUGUUGGUGACCAGAGAGGAUGAAUCGGGACGAUGUAAUGUCCUGCAAAACCCACUGUACCUCAGACAGCUGCAGCUGCGGGAUGAUCACAGUGAAGAUCUGCACUUCUACUUGAUCCACAUGACAGAGGUGAGUCACAGAGAG